UCCGGCCAACCUGCUCCGAACUCUAUUUGGCUUCUUAUUAGUUUUGCCUUGUUGUGCCAUGUGCUUCCAACCAAUCCUCAAGUGUCACUUUUCCAACCUUUCUUCGUACUCUGCCCCCACCCUAAGGCUGAGGGUUUGUAGUUCUUUAGUCCGAGGAAGGGUUUGUCCAUUAUUAUCGAUCUUUUUUCUUCUAUCCAUGGAUGGAAGAAUCAAUUCUUUUUGUCUCUUUUUUUUAUCGUGGGGCUUUUCUUCUACUUGAGGGAAUUGGAGGGUGAGCUUGAAUGAAAAUACCAAAGUCGAUGCUGCCGAUAGAAAAGACUUCCUCCGAUUGAAGGACAUGGAAGUCCCUUCACAGCGAGAGCUGCUAACGG
rnacentral:lncRNA from 1 species